rnacentral:tRNA from 1 species
GCGCCCGUAGCUCAAUUGGAUAGAGCGUCAGACUUCGGAUCUGAAUGUUGGGGGUUCAAGUCCCUCCGGGCGCGCCA